CCCUGCCCUGCAACCUCAGCCAAGCCCACAGCAAUUCCUCCUGGUGCCCAGCGCUGGCCACAGGGACACAGCUGAGGGCACAGUCCAGACACGUGCUUGGGGCCACCCACAGGAUAGGGGAGCAGGCUGCACAAACUGUCCCAUGCAUCUACUGGGUCUCAGCACAGUGGGUAGAGAAGUAAGGGCCAAUUCCGAGCCCCCCACCCUAGACACUUGACACACUAUCUCCUUUAAUCCUCACUUGCCCCCAUUUCACAGAUGAGAAAACUGAAGCCCAGAGAGAUUAAGGGACCUGCCCAAGAUCACACAGCAAGUGAACCCUAGGCCUGUCAGUCUUCUUACUGCAUGGCAGCCACUGCCACCCACCCCGCAGGGUUGCUCCCCACCCCCAGCUUGCCACCCAUGACCCUCCCAGCCAGGGUUCUGGAUGCUGUCCACCGUUGAUAUUACGGCCACUUCAGGAAAGACAGUAGAUUGUAUAGUUACCCCAUAGCAGGGCAGAGCCCCAAACUAUACAACCUACUACCUCACCCCAAAGGGCCGUCAGUCUUGGCUCCCGGACGGACUUCACGGCUUCCAGAGGCACCUCCUGGAAGGAGGAGAGGCACUGGGGAACCAGGGCUGGGGGCCAGGCCAUCUGGGUGCUAAGGGGACAGGGACUCUGGCAGGCAGGUCAGCAAAAGGCCUGGGCACCAGCGAACUGCCGGCAGCACCACCGCAGAGAGGGUGCCCCAGGAGAAAGCCACCAACCAAAAGGGGAGAGAGAGGGGAGGGAGGGAGGGCAUGGGGAGAAGUUCGAGGUGGCUUUUGGGAAACUCUUACAGGCGACUGGACCACUCCCAUCUGGACAGGAGUGGUCACCAUGUCCCCAAGGGACUUCUGCAUUAGUGACACUGGGAGGAAGGUUGUCAAUUGUUAGAGGCCAUGUGUCAGAAAGGUGCCGUGAGUGUCUACAUGGCUGCCCACCCUCCGACCAACAGCCCAGCCUCCGGCUCCUGGCCACACCAGAUGCCCCUGUGAUCUGCGGGCCUGCUCCCUCCACCCCCGGGACAGGUGCGACUCCCUCCCCGCAGGCUCUGCUGAUCUGGUCCUGCAUCUAGGGUGACCUGAGCCGCCCCCACUUUGCAAGAGGCCUCUGGAUGCUGUUCUUUUCUUCUAAAGGGAACCUGGCUCCCAGGGGAGUGGCUGGGCCAGAACUGGACCCUCGAGGGACACACAGGCCCAGAGGCAGCCUCGAUAAACAUCCACAACAGCCACCGGCAUGGCCACCACCUUCCUGGGGAACCCUGUGAAGCCGAUGAGGCAAGGACUACUGUCCACCCAUCUCACAGGUGAUGAGACUGAGGCCCACCCAGAGAGGCGACAUGAAGUUCACGCAGCCGUUGGCAUCAGAGCAGAGCUCCGAACGUUCUGAUUUCUGCCUAGUCAAGUGCAAAGAGAGCUCUGAGCUCUGAAACUUCAAACCUCCUUCCACAUCCCUUCCUAGCAGGCUGCCUCCUCCAGGCAGGCACCAGGCUGGGCCGUGCCAUUUGGUCCUCACAGGCCUGGUAAGGCCAGGAUCACCAAUCCCAUUUCUCGGUGAGGAAACUGAGGCUCAGAUGGGCAGGGUCCCUGACCCCAGGUCAGCAGAGGGCUCCCUCUCAGGCUCUCCCAGGCUUGGCCUUGCCCAUGGCUGCAGAGGGAGGUCUCGUGCUCAGGCCCAAGCAGCAAGCAGCUGCUGCCCCCGAACCCCUGGGUGUCAGGCGCUGUGCUGACAACACCCUGUGCAGGCGUGUGCCCUGCCCACAAGGGG
ensembl:lncRNA